rnacentral:rRNA from 1 species
UACGUAGGGUGCGAGCGUUGUCCGGAAUUACUGGGCGUAAAGAGCUCGUAGGUGGUUUGUCGCGUUGUUCGUGAAAACUCACAGCUUAACUGUGGGCGUGCGGGCGAUACGGGCAUCACUGGAGUUCGGCAGGGGAGACUGGAAUUCCCAGUGGUAGCGGUGAAAUGCGCAGAUAUCGGGAAGAACACCCGUGGCGAAGGCGGCUCUCUGGGACGGUACUGACGCGUGAGACGCGAAAGCGUGGGGAGCGAACAGG